rnacentral:rRNA from 1 species
AUCUACUCCGACGAGGAGGGCUACUGGCACUUGCGUGGUGCCCAGAAAUGGGUAUUGAAGGGCGAUGCGAACACGACUUAUUUCCAGGCCAUAACGAAUGGCCGUCGUAGACGCAACACCAUCCCCCUCCUCUGGGAUGGCCCGACUCUCUUGCAGUCCCCGCGUGACAUUAGGUCCCACGUUGACGGAUUCUAUAGAUCCCUGUUCGCAACUGCUCCUCGGAGCAGCUUAUAUCUGGCCUUGGACUGUUGG